CCGGGCUGGUGAAGGGGCGCCCCGAGCCGCGGCGGCUGCAGCCGGUCCGGAGCGCGAGGGGCUGCCCGGGCGCGCGGGGCCGGGCUGCGGGGUGCGGGGUGCGCGGCCCGGAGCCGCGGGGGAACAAUGACAGCGGGAUGGGAAGUGGGAGGGGGGUUGGAGCAGCCUCCGGAAAGCGCCGCCAACUGCACGGGUGCUCUCUUGCCCGGCGCGGCUAAAACGCGCUUGCUCAGAGGGGCCGGAGCUGCUGUUUUGCCGAGUGAAAAUACUUUCUGUAAGUGAUGAAAAAAUUUUCCACUUUAUUCGGUUGUUGGCUGGGGCCCAGUGCAUUGAAGUCCCAGAGUUCUUCGGGGAGGAGCCAGGAGGUUUACUGCAUCCUCCGACCUGUGUUUCGCGGGGAGAAGAGUUAAGAAGCCUGAGCAUUCUAACGCAGCUGGCGGAGCUUGAGAAAGUGACAAAGGCAGAGCUCGUGUGCGUGGCUCGGGGACUGAUGCCCCGCCUCUGAGCCGGGGACCAGAAAUGUGUCCAUUAAGGGACUGGUAAUGGCUGGGUUUAGCCUGGGACGGUUCCCCCAAGGAGGCGAUUUGAGAGGAGGCUGUAGGUGCCCGGCCUGGGACUGGAAGAGCAGUCCGGGAAGGGUCCAGGGGGCGUGGAGGGCGCUCCCACCGGCCACCUGGGGACAGGAGGCAGCAAAGGCGCCAGCAGCCCUCAGGGAUUCCGGGGCUGUGAACUGCGCAGGGCCUGUGGCUCCUGGUCCCAGCUACAGUCAGCCAAUAAAAGAUAGACGCAGGGACCCCUUCCCUCCCCCCCCCCCCUCCGGAGCCAAUGGAAACCUACCCGCCUGCGGAGGAAUUGCCACCCGCCUGCGGAGGAAACAUUUUCGGACACCUGGCCAAGAGGCUUCCCUUGGGGGUUGCCUUUCCAGGAGCCCAGGACAGGUGUGUAUGAAGGACCAAAAUACCAGGAGCGUGUUCAAUUAGUCAUUCUUUUGGAUCAGAGCGCCUGCUGCUUGUAAAGCCACACACACGCCAUUACAAACUGUGAGGGGGCGAAGAGCAAAGGCAAGAGGGCAGAGGGGAAGAAACGUGCUUCCUGCCCUGAGCAUCUUAGAGGGCCCUUUCCCCCUGUUGUAUGUCCUGCAUCAUGUUCCCUGCUGUAAAGGUUAGCGUCUUGUAUUUGUGUAAUGCUUUACAGUUUCAAACUGUAUGAUUUAUCUGGUAAUCACUGUAACCUAGAAGACAGGUAUUACUACUCAUGUUUAACCAGCAGAGGAAGUGAUGCUCAGAUUAGCUAAACCCUACACCCAAAGUGAUACUGCCCGUUAGUGAUGGCUGUGGGACUAGUACUCAGUGUUGUGGCUGCAAAUCCAGGGCUCUUUAAAUACAUCAAAGGAAGGAAACCAGGCCUGCUUUAUGAUUCUGGCGCCCAGGUCACACCCAACAAUUAGAAUGAAAUCCAGAAGGACUAGGUUAAUUUCUUAGUCAUUGCUCUUUCAGAUCGUCCCUUUGCAACACAGGUGAGCUCCAGUGUUAUACACCUGUGUGUGAAGAAGGGGUUCCACUGACUCGCUGCCAGGAAAGCCAGUCCUGGAGGUAAGAACAGAACGGGGGGAUGAACACGGGUCACCAGCUGUGGCUCCCUUCCUCAUCCACACUUAAUAGUGCCCGAGAAUGAGCAGAAGGACAGCUCCAUUCACCAGAGCCCAAAAGGGAAGGAAAACCACUGAUGGUAGGAAAAUGCUGUGUCGUGUGUAAGACCUUGGAGGAAUAUAGGGUAGGGAACUGAGAAUGGGUGGGAACUUUUUUUCACUAAAAUAAAAUGAAAGAGUCAGUACUCUAAACCGAGAUGAGGUCAGUGGCUUACAUUUACAUGACUUCUAUUCUGAUCAAUGGACCAUGCUUGCUUCAUUUCCUUACUCUCUAGACGUGCACUGUUCCUACAGUAGCCACUAGCCGUGUGUGGAUGCUGAGCCCUGAAAUGUGGCUAGUCCAAAUCGAAAUGUGCUGUCCAUGUAAGAUUUGAAAGAUUUGAAAGACUUGGGAAAGAGGACACAGCUGUCCCAUCCUGGGCAGGACAGCUGCUGGUCCAUGAGAUGGCUUUAUGCAAACUGAGAAAAGGAAAUCGCUCUGACUGAUGCAGCCUGGCACCCAAGGCCAUGGCGAGGGGGCAAGGACUGGAUUGUGUACAGCGGCCUCGGGAGUUCUGAGUCAGGGUUCUAAGAUCUCACCUUCUUUUAUUGUUCCCACACCUCUACGGCAAAUCCUCUGGCUGUGCUCUGCUUGCUGCUUUGACUCUCUUCUCUUUCACCAACUCCCAAUACCCUCUUGUUCCGGUUUUCAGCAAAAUGACUGCAAUUUGCAUGUACUGAAGUGAAAUUCUCAUUUGGUACCUGGAAGGGCAUCCAAGCGUAACAGAAUGUGGCAUCGGGCAUCAGGCGGGAAAUAAAAAUGCCCAGUAACCAAGACUGCUGUUGACAGAUUUUAACGACUUACAAGAGGAAUGAGGAUGCCUUGGGAUAUCAGGAUGUGCUCUUAGAAGUGGCUGACAGGAAGCGUAACUUCACAUUGCUUCCCUGCAUAUCCCCGGAAGGGACAGAGUUCCAAGCAGGAAAGAUCACGAGUCAUGGCCAUAGGCCACCCAUGUCUUGGGAGGUCUGGAAGAUUCCCUUGCUCAGGGGAAGGGGGCCUCAUGGACCAAAGAGUGACUUUCCCAACUUGGGUUCCUCUAGGCCAGCUACAAUCUGUCACUGGGAAUCUGGAAGUCAUUCAGAUAAUAAAAUGAUGUUCGUGGAAACAUUACAUAAAUGCCUACUCAGUGGAAACUCACCUGUUGUCAUUGUAAUAGCUAAUGUAUAUUAUGUGCCAUGUGCUGCUAUAAGUACUUAUUUAAUCCUUAUAACAACCCUGUAAUAUGGGUACUAUCAUAUCAUCAUCCUAUUUGACAGGUGGGAAAACUGAUUCACAGAGAAAUAACUUUUUCAAGGUCCCACAGCUAAUAAGUGAUCCAGGAUUCAAACUCAGGCUAACUGUGGAGUAUAUAAUUUCUCCCAUGAAACCAGGGUUAAGGCCACCCCUACAAUUCUACUGAGGAAGACACUGCUCAGCUCCAGUCAAGUGUUUCCAUGAAGGAAUGCAGGCCCAUCGUGCCCAUAUAGAUUUUUUUCAAGGAAAGUCAUACGAGUCAACACUUGGUUCUGGAUCGAACAAAUCCAGCUAAGUCUAGCCUGAAGUCAUCUGGCUCCUGACUUCUGCUCUGCCCGCACCACCUCUCCAGCGACAUGUCUCACAGACAAGACGCUUGACCCAAGUUCCUAGGCAUGUGCUCUGAUCGGCGGGACAGACUCACGGGGCUGGGGUGCUUCUGUGCCUGGGGGGUCUGUCCCUACUGGAACAGAUUUUGUGUCCCUGCCACUCAGCAAAUGUCCAGUAAUCUCUCUGCUCCCUUGCAGUUCCAGGGCCCACUGGAAACUAUGAGUGCCAUCACUGAAAGUAGCAUCAAAGGCUCUGAGGCAGAGAGGUUGGAUGUGUGGGGAGAUAGGCUCUCUGGCAUAGAACUUGAUUGUCCAGAAUAAGCGCAUAAACCAGACAAAAUGUUUAGAAUCCAGGGCUACACCUUACAUCUGGUGGGUUCUGAGAAAACUGGCAAAGCAGAGGCAGGGCAAGAACCCGUGGCAUCUAGUGGAGCCUUCAUUCAGGGUCACCCCAUAGGGUUGGGCAGGUUGCGCACUGCACCUCAAGUUGAACAAAGAGGACUGGGGGCCUUUUCCUAGUUUACACAAAGGCACUAUCUAUUUGUUAAACUGAGCACUUCUGAGGCUGUGUCUGCCCAGAGGAAGGACCUUUUCUAAUUCAUACCAAGUCUCCAUAUGUACCUGGGGGACCCUGAAGAAAUUUGGGGUGCUGCUCUAUAGCACAGAGCCUGAUGCACCGCCACCUCAGGCCAGGGCUCCGAGCUCAAUGACAGGACUGAAGCUCAGCUUCGGUCCAGGAUUUAGAGCUCUGGCUCCCCAGCUCCCUGUACCAGCCAGUGCUCCAGGGAGGAAGAAGAGGGAGGGCAACGAGGCCAGCCUGCAGCAGGACCAGGGUUCAGCUUCCUCAUUCCGUCCCCAGUGAGGAGAGCAAGGCCUACCCAGCCCCUGGGAGCAGGAAGUGAGAGAAAAGGCCACACCUGGGCACACGACCCUUUAUUGCACAAGAGCCCCACCCCCCUCAUAAAAGUGUCUGAAACAGCGUCCUGGAUCCUGACCAAACAGAUUACAGCAGCGACCUUGGGGGGAAGCCAGCAGAGGGGUGGAGACUUUCUCUCCCCUACGGAACACGGAACCAAUCUCAGCUAAUCCUCACAAUUUCCCUGUUCACGGACGGGCGGUGUGUGCACAUCUUUUCCAAUGGAGAGGAGUCGUUGGCAUCGGUAAUAGAUGGAAUGUGAAUAUUGUAUUGUGUGGAGGGACAGCUCCUCUGGCCUGUCCCCAGGGAAGGAAGACAAGAUCCAGUGGAGAGAGAAAUGGCUGAUUCACUGUCUGGGCCAGAGAAAGUGAAACUGGGGCAUCAACUUGUGCCAAAAGACUAGGAAGUGUUCAAAAACAUAGGAGAUAUAGAAGGGGUUCUUACUGGCCAAAUUUGGGACAAUUAGAGCACCAAAAUGAAUAAUGACUACAACUGGUAACAUGAUGAAUAGAACAAACUCUAUGUGUCCAUAGUGAUAUUCAAAACAAGAGGGGAAGGAAGGGAAAUAACUAAUAAAAGUGGAAGGAAUAAUAGAAUUGGAUAUCACUAUUUUGCAGCCCCCAAUAAAAUAAGUGAUUUAUACAAAGUUUAUCAAUGGAGCCACUGGAUAAAAGUUUACUAGACAGUAAGAUAUUCACUUUGCCACAGAGGACCCAAGUAUUAUCAAGGGGGAAAUUUCUCUUUACAAUAGAGAGAUCUGGGAGUCAG